UGAUGCACAUCCUACUCUUGUAACCUAUG
rnacentral:piRNA from 1 species